GAUGAACGCUGGCGGCGUGCCUAAUACAUGCAAGUCGAGCGAACAGACGAGGAGCUUGCUCCUCUGACGUUAGCGGCGGACGGGUGAGUAACACGUGGAUAACCUACCUAUAAGACUGGGAUAACUUCGGGAAACCGGAGCUAAUACCGGAUAAUAUAUUGAACCGCAUGGUUCAAUAGUGAAAGACGGUUUUGCUGUCACUUAUAGAUGGAUCCGCGCCGCAUUAGCUAGUUGGUAAGGUAACGGCUUACCAAGGCAACGAUGCGUAGCCGACCUGACAGGGGGAUCGGCCACACUGGAACUGAGACACGGUCCAGACUCCUACGGGAGGCAGCAGUAGGGAAUCUUCCGCAAUGGGCGAAAGCUUGACGGAGCAACGCCGCGUGAGUGAUGAAGGUCUUCUGAUCGUAAAACUCUGUUAUUAGGGAAGAACAAAUGUGUAAGUAACUAUGCACGUCUUGACGGUACCUAAUCAGAAAGCCACGGCUAACUACGUG
rnacentral:rRNA from 1 species